AACGCUAGCUACAGGCUUAACACAUGCAAGUCGAGGGGCAGCAUAAAAGUAGCAAUACUUUGGUGGCGACCGGCGCACGGGUGAGUAACGCGUAUGCAACCUACCUAUCAGAGGGGAAUAACCCGGCGAAAGUCGGACUAAUACCGCAUAAAACAGGGGCACCGCAUGGUGAUAUUUGUUAAAGAAAUUCGCUGAUAGAUGGGCAUGCGUUCCAUUAGGUAGUUGGUGAGGUAACGGCUCACCAAGCCGACGAUGGAUAGGGGAACUGAGAGGUUGGUCCCCCACACUGGUACUGAGACACGGUCCAAACUCCUACGGGAGGCAGCAGUGAGGAAUAUUGGUCAAUGGGCGCGAGCCUGAACCAGCCAAGUAGCGUGAAGGAUGAAGGUCCUACGGAUUGUAAACUUCUUUUAUAAGGGAAUAAAGUCACUUACGUGUGGGUGUUUGUAUGUACCUUAUGAAUAAGCAUCGGCUAACUCCGUGCCAGCAGCCGCGGUAAUACGGAGGAUGCGAGCGUUAUCCGGAUUUAUUGGGUUUAAAGGGAGCGUAGACGGGUCGUUAAGUCAGCUGUGAAAGUUUGAGGCUCAACCUUAAAAUUGCAGUUGAUACUGGCGUCCUUGAGUACGGUUGAGGCAGGCGGAAUUCGUGGUGUAGCGGUGAAAUGCAUAGAUAUCACGAAGAACUCCGAUUG
rnacentral:rRNA from 1 species